rnacentral:rRNA from 1 species
GAUCCUGGCUCAGGAUGAACGCUGGCGGCGUGCUUAACACAUGCAAGUCGAACGAGAGAAGAUCGGUGCUUGCACUGAUCCGAUCGAGUGGCGGACGGGUGAGUAACGCGUGGGUAACCUGCCUCAUACAGGGGAAUAACAGUUGGAAACGGCUGCUAAAACCGCAUAAGCGCACAGUAUCGCAUGAUACAGUGUGAAAAACUCCGGUGGUAUGAGAUGGACCCGCGU